rnacentral:sRNA from 1 species
GAUGAGCUGAGCUGAGAAUAUUAGGAAACUGCCAUUUCCUCAUAACCUGUUGCAAUUCCAGUAUUCUGUGUGACCUAAAAACUGGGUUGGAAAUCCUCCUUAACACAGAUACAAAACCCAGAAGCUGUAGAGGACAAUAUCAACCGAUUUGACAGUAUAACAGGAUGGCUUAAAUUCCUUGGUCCUUGAUUUAGAUUUUCCUGCUUUGAGGAAAAACAAGAACAUAGAUAAUUUCUUAAAUAGAUAUGAGAAAAUUGUGAAAAAAAUCAGAGGUCUACAGAUGAAGGCAGAAGACUAUGAUGUUGUAAAAGUUAUUGGAAGAGGUGCUUUUGGUGAAGUGCAGUUGGUUCGUCAUAAGGCAUCGCAGAAGGUUUAUGCUAUGAAGCUUCUUAGUAAGUUUGAGAUGAUAAAAAGAUCAGAUUCUGCCUUUUUUUGGGAAGAAAGAGAUAUUAUGGCCUUUGCCAAUAGCCCCUGGGUGGUUCAGCUUUUUUAUGCCUUUCAAGAUGAUAGGUAUCUGUACAUGGUAAUGGAGUACAUGCCUGGUGGAGACCUUGUAAACCUUA